CUGACAAAUGUGCAUUUAAGCAACAACAGUCAAUUUUCCAGGAAACAUCUUUAUAGCAUAUUUUGAGUGGACCUUUUGAAUAAAGCAAUCAGAAAUGUUUGUUAUGACAAUGGAUAAUAAAACUGCCACUUGAAAGAAACUAGCAAUUGAGAGGGAGCAGCUUGACCAAAUAUGAAGAAGGUAAAAAAAUUCCAAUGGCUUGCUUUCACUGCCAGAGUAUCUGAAACACACUAAGAGCACUGUCAAGGGAGCUAUUCUUGAAUUUUAAUUCAGGUCCCCAACAUGUGUCUGUCUCUUGGUUUACUUGGGAGAAACCCUGAAGGCUCAGAUAGUCUUUGGAAUAAGGUCACUGUAGAAGACUGACAAGGGGUCCCUGGAUGAUAGAGAGGGCAGACAAUCCCUUCUCUCAUCAGUCAAUGGUGGCUGGUGGCUGUUAUUCACCCUUCUGAGAAACAGGACAAAACUGAUAAACUUCAAGA
rnacentral:lncRNA from 1 species